AUUGAACGCUGGCGGCAGGCCUAAUACAUGCAAGUCGAACGAGUGGCGGACGGGUGAGUAAUGUCUGGGAAACUGCCUGAUGGAGGGGGAUAACGACUGGAAACGGUAGCUAAUACCGCAUACCAGCGGAUGUGCCCAGAUGGGAUUAGCUAGUAGGUGGGGUAAAGGCUCACCUAGGCGACGAGCCCUAGCUGGUCUGAGAGGAUGACCAGCCACACUGGAACUGAGCCACGGUCCAGACUCCUCCGGGAGGCAGCAGUGGGGAAUAUUGCCCAAUUGGCGCAAGUCUGAUGCAGCCCUGCCGCGUGUAUGAAGAAGGCCUUCGGGUUGUAAAGUACUUUCAGCGGGGAGGCGUUACCCGCUGAAGAAGCACCGGCUAACUCCGUGCCAGCAGCCGCGGUAAUUC
rnacentral:rRNA from 1 species